rnacentral:rRNA from 1 species
AUUGAACGCUGGCGGCAUGCUUUACACAUGCAAGUCGAACGGCAGCACGGACUUCGGUCUGGUGGCGAGUGGCGAACGGGUGAGUAAUACAUCGGAACGUGCCCAGUUGUGGGGGAUAACUACUCGAAAGAGUAGCUAAUACCGCAUGAGAACUGAGGUUGAAAGCAGGGGAUCGUAAGACCUUGCGCAACUGGAGCGGCCGAUGGCAGAUUAGGUAGUUGGUGGGAUAAAAGCUUACCAAGCCGACGAUCUGUAGCUGGUCUGAGAGGACGACAAGCCACACUGGGAAGGAGACACGGCCCAGACUCCUGCGGGAGGCAGCAGUGGGGAAUUUUGGACAAUGGGCGAAAGCCUGAUUCAGCAAUGCCGCGUGCAGGAUGAAGGCCUUCGGGUUGUAAACUGCUUUUGUACGGAACGAAAAGCUUCGGGCUAAUACCCUGGAGCCAUGACGGUACCGUAAGAAUAAGCACCGGCUAACUACGUGCCAGCCGCCGCUGUAAUAC